rnacentral:rRNA from 1 species
GACGAACCGUGCGAACGUUAUUCGGAAUCACUGGGCUUAAAGCGCGUGUAGGCGGGCGGGAACGUCGGUCGUUGAAAUCCCCCGGCUCAACCGGGGAACGGGCGCCGAUACGACCGUCCUGGAGGGACGUAGGGGGACCUGGAACAUCCGGUGGAGCGGUGAAAUGCGUUGAGAUCGGAUGGAACGCCCGUGGCGAAAGCGAGGUCCUGGACGUUUCUGACGCUGAGACGCGAAAGCCAGGGAGCGAACGGG